AUUGAACGCUGGCGGCAUGCCUUACACAUGCAAGUCGAACGGCAGCACGGGAGCAAUCCUGGUGGCGAGUGGCGAACGGGUGAGUAAUGUAUCGGAACGUACCAUUGAGUGGGGGAUAACGUAGCGAAAGUUACGCUAAUACCGCAUAUACCCUGAGGGGGAAAGCAGGGGAUCGCAAGACCUUGUGCUCUUUGAGCGGCCGAUAUCAGAUUAGCUAGUUGGUGAGGUAAAGGCUCACCAAGGCGACGAUCUGUAGCGGGUCUGAGAGGAUGAGCCGCCAAACUGGAACUGAGACACGGUCCAGACUCCGACGGGAGGAAGCAGUGGGGAAUUUUGGACAAUGGGGGCAAACCUGAUCCAGCCAUGCCGCGUGAGUGAAGAAGGCCUUCGGGUUGUAAAGCUCUUUCGGCCGGGAGGAAAUCGCAUCAGCUAAUACCUGGUGUGGAUGACAGUACCGGAAUAAGAAGCACCGGCUAACUACGUGCCAGCCGCCGCCGUAAAAC
rnacentral:rRNA from 1 species